rnacentral:rRNA from 1 species
CUUCCGUAGGGUGAACCUGCGGAAGGAUCAUUACCGAGUGUAGGGUUCCUAGCGAGCCCAACCUCCCACCCGUGUUUACUGUACCUUAGUUGCUUCGGCGGGCCCGCCAUUCAUGGCCGCCGGGGGCUCUCAGCCCCGGGCCCGCGCCCGCCGGAGACACCACGAACUCUGUCUGAUCUAGUGAAGUCUGAGUUGAUUGUAUCGCAAUCAGUUAAAACUUUCAACAAUGGAUCUCUUGGUUCCGGCAUCGAUGAAGAACGCAGCGAAAUGCGAUAACUAGUGUGAAUUGCAGAAUUCCGUGAAUCAUCGAGUCUUUGAACGCACAUUGCGCCCCCUGGUAUUCCGGGGGGCAUGCCUGUCCGAGCGUCAUUGCUGCCCAUCAAGCACGGCUUGUGUGUUGGGUCGUCGUCCCCUCUCCGGGGGGGACGGGCCCCAAAGGCAGCGGCGGCACCGCGUCCGAUCCUCGAGCGUAUGGGGCUUUGUCACCCGCUCUGUAGGCCCGGCCGGCGCUUGCCGAACGCAAAUCAAUCUUUUCCAGGUUGACCUCGGAUCAGGUAGGAGCCCGAAUUCU